GUCGAGCGGCAGCACGGGGAGCUUGCUCCCUGGUGGCGAGCGGCGGACGGGUGAGUAAUGCAUAGGAAUCUGCCCGGUAGUGGGGGAUAACCUGGGGAAACCCAGGCUAAUACCGCAUACGUCCUACGGGAGAAAGCAGGGGACCUUCGGGCCUUGCGCUAUCGGAUGAGCCUAUGUCGGAUUAGCUGGUUGGUGAGGUAAUGGCUCACCAAGGCAACGAUCCGUAGCUGGUCUGAGAGGAUGAUCAGCCACAUCGGGACUGAGACACGGCCCGAACUCCUACGGGAGGCAGCAGUGGGGAAUAUUGGACAAUGGGCGCAAGCCUGAUCCAGCCAUGCCGCGUGUGUGAAGAAGGCCCUCGGGUUGUAAAGCACUUUCAGUGGGGAAGAAAGCCUUCCGGUUAAUACCCGGGAGGAGGGACAUCACCCACAGAAGAAGCACCGGCUAACUCCGUGCCAGCAGCCGCGGUAAU
rnacentral:rRNA from 1 species